rnacentral:rRNA from 1 species
CCUACGGGUGGCAGCAGUGGGGAAUAUUGCACAAUGGGGGAAACCCUGAUGCAGCGACGCCGCGUGAAGGAAGAAGUAUUUCGGUAUGUAAACUUCUAUCAGCAGGGAAGAAAAUGACGGUACCUGACUAAGAAGCCACGGCUAACUACGUGCCAGCAGCCGCGGUAAUACGUAGGGGGCAAGCGUUAUCCGGAUUUACUGGGUGUAAAGGGAGCGUAGGCGGUUUAGCAAGUCAGAAGUGAAAGCCCGGGGCUCAACUCCGGGACUGCUUUUGAAACUGUUGAACUAGAGUGCAGGAGAGGUAAGUGGAAGUCCUAGUGUAGCGGUGAAAUGCGUAGAUAUUAGGAGGAACACCAGUGGCGAAGGCGGCUUACUGGACUGUAAAUGACGCUGAGGCUCGAAAGCGUGGGGAGCAAACAGGAUUAGAUACCCCAGUAGUC